rnacentral:lncRNA from 1 species
UAAUUCAACCAUCAUGAAUAGAUUAUAAGCAAUAUCAGGAAUUACGCGAACAUAUACAAUGUAUCAGCGGUCGUGAAUAUAAUAUAUUCAAACAUAAAUAGUGCACAAAAGAACAUGAACAAGUGUGUGGUAAUCACACUACAUGAAUAGUGUAAAUGCAAACAUAAACAAGUGAAUACACAACCAUAGUCGUUGUCAUAACAUCUUGAACAACAACCUCCCUAAGCACCCUCACAAGGGCCAUAACAGUCGCUACUGCCAAUUGCACAACCACGUCUUCCCUCGCAAUAUCCAAGCUACUACCACCGCCUCUGCCAUAACCUCCGUCGUCAUGGCGUGGGCCAUAAAACUCGCCGCUUCCGCUCUGUCGAAGUCUCUCGAUCUCUCCAUCUCUCGAUCUUGCGAUUGUUAACGAUCUUCGUCAGCCUGCGCACAGCACCACGCUC